AUUCCCCUAGUAACGGCGAGUGAAGCGGGAAGAGCUCACCAUGUGAAUCUCUAUAACCAGCAAUGGUAUAGCGAAUUGUGGUCUGGAGAAGUAUUGUCGGCCGUGAAUCCGGGCCAAGUCUCUUGGAAAAGGGCAGCUGAGAGGGUGAAACUCCCGUUCUUGCCUGGAAUCAUUGCGCUCUGGCACAUGCUUUCUACGAGUCGAGUUGUUUGGGAUUACAGCUCAAAGUAUGUCGUAACUUCGAUAUAAAGCUAAAUAUUGGUGGGACACCGAUAGUGUACAAGUACCGUGAGGGAAAGAUGCAAAGAACUUUGAAAAGAGAGUUAAAGAGUACCUGAAAUUGUUAAAAGGGAAGCGAAGGAAACCAGUGUUUGGCGAAUCCAUUCUUCCCAAGCUACUUGUAGUUUGGGCGCUGUGGUUAGCAAUAGUCAGCAUUGGCUUAAUCUGGGUCAAACGUUUGGUGGGUAGGCGGCUCUUCGGAGUUAGUGCCCAUCUUUCAUGCUCUGGAUUGGGCUGAGGUCAGUCACUCUGUGCUCGUGAUGCUGGCAAAAUGG
rnacentral:rRNA from 1 species